GACGAACGCUGGCGGCGUGCCUAAUACAUGCAAGUCGAACGCUUUUUCUUUCACCGGAGCUUGCUCCACCGAAAGAAAAAGGGUGGCGAACGGGUGAGUAACACGUGGGUAACCUGCCCAUCAGAAGGGGAUAACACUUGGAAACAGGUGCUAAUACCGUAUAACACUAUUUUCCGCAUGGAAGAAAGUUGAAAGGCGCUUUUGCGUCACUGAUGGAUGGACCCGCGGUGCAUUAGCUAGUUGGUGAGGUAACGGCUCACCAAGGCAACGAUGCAUGGCCGACCUGAGAGGGUGAUCGGCCACACUGGGACUGAGACACGGCCCAGACUCCUACGGGAGGCAGCAGUAGGGAAUCUUCGGCAAUGGACGAAAGUCUGACCGAGCAACGCCGCGUGAGUGAAGAAGGUUUUCGGAUCGUAAAACUCUGUUGUUAGAGAAGAACAAGGAUGAGAGUAAAACGUUCAUCCCUUGACGGUAUCUAACCAGAAAGCCACGGCUAACUACGUGCCAGCCGCCGCGGUAA
rnacentral:rRNA from 1 species